rnacentral:rRNA from 1 species
UACGUAGGGUGCAAGCGUUGUCCGGAAUUAUUGGGCGUAAAGAGCUCGUAGGCGGUUUGUCGCGUCUGCUGUGAAAAUCCAGGGCUUAACCCUGGACCUGCAGUGGGUACGGGCAGACUAGAGUGCGGUAGGGGAGAUCGGAAUUCCCGGUGUAGUGGUGAAAUGCGUAGAGAUCGGGAGGAACACCUGUGGCGAAGGCGGCCCCCUGGGCCGGCCCUGACACUGAGACGCGAAGGCGUGGGGAGCGAACGGG